rnacentral:tRNA from 1 species
CCUAGACGAGUUAAUUUAACUCCAUAAACA